ensembl:snRNA U6 U6 spliceosomal RNA
GUGCUUGCUUCCAUGGCAUAUAUACUAAAAUUAGAAUGAUACAGAGAAGAUUAACAUGGCCCCUGCACAAGGAAAACAUGAAAAUUCAUGAAGCAUUCCAUAAAAAG